rnacentral:rRNA from 1 species
AGUGAACGCUGGCGGCAGGCCUAACACAUGCAAGUCGAACGGCAGCACAGUAAGAGCUUGCUCUUACGGGUGGCGAGUGGCGGACGGGUGAGGAAUACAUCGGAAUCUACUUUUUCGUGGGGGAUAACGUAGGGAAACUUACGCUAAUACCGCAUACGACGUACGGGUGAAAGCAGGGGAUCUUCGGACCUUGCGCGAUCGAAUGAGCCGAUGUCGGAUUAGCUAGUUGGCGGGGUAAAGGCCCACCAAGCCGACGAUCCGUAGCUGGUCUGAGAGGAUGAUCAGCCACACUGGAACUGAGACACGGUCCAGACUCCUACGGGAGGCAGCAGUGGGGAAUAUUGGACAAUGGGCGCAAGCCUGAUCCAGCCAUGCCGCGUGGGUGAAGAAGGCCUUCGGGUUGUAAAGCCCUUUUGUUGGGAAAGAAAAGCAGCAAGUUAAUACCCCGCUGUUCUGACGGUACCCAAAGAAUAAGCACCGGCUAACUUCGUG